rnacentral:rRNA from 1 species
CUACGGGCUGCAGCAGUGAGGAAUCUUGCGCAAUGGGGGAAACCCUGACGCAGCGACGCCGCGUGGGUGAUGAAGGCCUUCGGGUCGUAAAGCCCUGUCGAGAGGGAAGAAUUGCAUUUAGGUUAAUAGCCUAAUUGUUUGACGGUACCUCCAAAGGAAGCACCGGCUAACUCCGUACCAGCAGCCGCGGUAAUACGGAGGGUGCAAGCGUUGUUCGGAAUCACUGGGCGUAAAGGGCGUGUAGGCGGCUGAGUACGUCAGGUGUGAAAGCCCUCGGCUCAACCGAGGAAGUGCAUUUGAUACUGCUCAUCUUGAGUACUGGAGAGGGAGAUGGAAUUCCCGGUGUAGAGGUGAAAUUCGUAGAUAUCGGGAGGAACACCAGUGGCGAAGGCGAUCUCCUGGACAGAUACUGACGCUAAGGCGCGAAAGCGUGGGGAGCAAACAGGAUUAGAUACCCGGGUAGUC